GGGUGCGAUCAUACCAGCAUUAAUGCAUCGAAUCCCAUCAGAACUCUGCAGUUAAGCGCGCUUGUGCCAGAGUAGUACUGGGAUGGGUGACAUCCUGGAAAGUCUUGGUGUUGCACCCU
rnacentral:rRNA from 1 species